UCGUGCUAGACGGAGGGCUUGGGGUCCUUUAUAACCGCAAAUCCCCAUACGGCGGGUCGAAAUCCUGUUUGAGGAUCGUAGCGACAAAAGCGGCCCAUUCCGGACGCGUUGAAAGACGGGUUCCACACGGCGGGAAGCCGUGAACCCCGCCAGGAUCGGAAGAUAGCAGCGGUAAGCGUCACUUCUCGGGUGAUGUGGCAGUGCCUGUCUUGAGCCUACGGUUCGGGAAGCGCGUUGGCGUUUCGAUUCGAUUUCAGGUGCACGG
rnacentral:SRP_RNA from 1 species